rnacentral:rRNA from 1 species
AGAGUUUGAUCAUGGCUCAGGACGAACGCUGGCGGCGUGCUUAACACAUGCAAGUCGAACGAUGAAGCCAGCUUGCUGGUGGAUUAGUGGCGAACGGGUGAGUAACACGUGGGUGAUCUGCCCUGUACUUUGGGAUAAGCCUGGGAAACUGGGUCUAAUACCGAAUAUUACCUUCUCCUGCAUGGGGGUUGGUGGAAAGCUCCGGCGGUAUGGGAUGGGCCCGCGGCCUAUCAGCUUGUUGGUGGGGUAAUGGCCUACCAAGGCGACGACGGGUAGCCGGCCUGAGAGGGCGACCGGCCACACUGGGACUGAGACACGGCCCAGACUCCUACGGGAGGCAGCAGUGGGGAAUAUUGCACAAUGGGCGCAAGCCUGAUGCAGCGACGCCGCGUGAGGGAUGACGGCCUUCGGGUUGUAAACCUCUUUCACCAGGGACGAAGCGAAAGUGACGGUACCUGGAGAAGAAGCACCGGCCAACUACGUGCCAGCAGCCGCGGUAAUACGUAGGGUGCGAGCGUUGUCCGGAAUUACUGGGCGAAAGAGCUCGUAGGCGGUUUGUCGCGUCGUUCGUGAGAACUUGGGGCUUAACUCCAAGCGUGCGGGCGAUACGGGCAGACUUGAGUACUACAGGGGAGACUGGAAUUCCUGGUGUAGCGGUGAAAUGCGCAGAUAUCAGGAGGAACACCGGUGGCGAAGGCGGGUCUCUGGGUAGUAACUGACGCUGAGGAGCGAAAGCGUGGGUAGCGAACAGGAUUAGAUACCCUAGUAGUCC